rnacentral:tRNA from 1 species
GCCCGAAUAGGUCAGUCGGUACAGCGUUGGAACUAUAAUCCAACGGUCUAGGGGUUCAUGUCCCUAUUUGGGCG